rnacentral:rRNA from 1 species
GACGAACGCUGGCGGCGUGCCUAAUACAUGCAAGUCGAACGCAGUGGGGACGGGUGAGUAACACGUGGGUAACCUCCCAUCAGAGGGGAUAACACUUGGAAACAGGUGCUAAACCGAUACUGAUGGAUGAACCCGCGUUGCAUUAGCUAGUGGGUGAGGUAACGGCUCACCAAGGCCACGAUGCAUAGCCGACCUGAGAGGGUGAUCGGCCAAACGGGUACUGAGACACGGCCCAGACUCCUACGGGAGGCAGCAGUAGGGAAUCUGCGGCAAUGGACGAAAGUCUGACCGAGCAACGCCGCGUGAGUGAAGAAGGUUUUCGGAUCGUAAAACUCUGUUGUUAGAGAAGCGGUAUCUAACCAGAAAGCAACGGCUAACUACGUGCCAGCAGCCGCGGUAAUUC